CCCUCUUCUGCUUGACUUCGAAAUUCCCUAAGUGCAGAAGCGAGGAUGCUGUGCUAGGUAGUGGGUUGCCGUGCGCUAUAUUUAGAAAGCAUCUGGAAGAGAAAAUGUCCUCAGGAAUCCGGACUGUUUUGUUGUAAACACCCCUCCAGUUCCAGCGCUGUAAACGUGAACGCUCCUUCUCCAGACGUGACAGCGCUCGGCGCUGCCUGGAAGCGCAGGGUGAAUGCUGUUGGCAGGCACACCAGCAUGGAUGAAGCAAAUCCGGCUUCAGAGAAACAGCCCCUAACUGCUUGUGUGAGCCUGAGGCUUCUAAUGUGAGGAAAAACACGCGGUGACAAGUGUGGAAAAGAGCAAGCACUAAAUUACUGUCAGAAAAAUAAACGGCGGAGCGCUGUGCUGCGCAGUGAUUUACGGGGGCAAUUAGCCACAGCCCCAAGGAGCCGCCGCGGCACCCCCCGGUGCUGGCCCGGCUCCUGCACCCAGCCCGGGCACCCGGGGCUCGUCUGCCCCUCCCGAGGCUCUUGUUUUGCCUACCCCAGGAAUGGGGAUGUGGAGAAGGGAACUGCCUCAAAAGCCAGAGGCUGGGUUUGCGGGGAAGGUGUGAGCGCUGCGGAUCUGCUUAUUCAUUGUGCCCAGGUGUGGGGUGAUUGAAAAGGUGGAGAACUACAGUUAAAGAAAAAGUAUUCCUGGAGAAGGGAAGCUGGAAAGCGGGGUGGGAAAGCUGCUGGGGCUGGAUGAGGUGGCUCUGCAGCUGCUGCAUGUCUUCUGGAGAUACUGUGGGCCAUUAGGCAUCUGGGCAGCCCAGGAGAAGGGCCAGCUCUGCUGCUAGCUGGGGGUGGACAUUAAACAAGCUUAAUGCUGUUGUUUCACCAGGAGAGAUGUUUUAAUCUGAAGCUAGCAACAAAGUAUAGACAGUCCAAGCUCCAGUUCAACCUGGACCAUGACAGUGAGCUCCCAGACAGCACAUUGCAGGGCUCCCUAGGGAGCAGCUGGAAGGAUCACCAAACCCUGGUAUACAGAAUCACAGACUGGUUCGGGCUGGAAAGGACCUUAAAGCUCAUCCAGUUCCAACCCACUGCCAUGGGCAGGGAUACCUUCCACUAGAGCAGGUUGCUCCAAGCCCCACCUAACCUGGCCUUGAACACUGCCAGGGAUAGGGCAGCUACAGCUUCUCUGGCAGUAGCUCCAGCCACUACCAUGAGGUCUGCAGGCUCAGGCUCCUAAGCACAAAAAUUCAGGAGCUCCUCUGUCAAGAACUCGUACAAAUACUAAAUGGGGCCUAUUUUGUGCAGAUGAUUUAACAAAGACUGCAUGGGUGAGGGAGCAGAUUUGUCUCAGACCUCUUCCUUUUUCAGAAGAAAAAGUUCAGAAGCUUAGACUGGACCUUGUGGCUUGAAAGGGUGCCUAGGCCUGAGAGCCUCUGGACUCUGAUUUCUGUCUUUAGGGAAUGCUGUGACACUCCUUUGCCCCAGCUCAUUUUACUGGAUCCACUUUGGACAUGUGGUGGUUUCAUUACUUGGUGCCAUGGUGCCUGCUGUCCUUGACCCCGCUAUCCUCACUCGGUGCCUGAAUGUCUGCUUUAAUGCUCUAAAGCUGUGUUGGUCACCAAGAGCUGGUCCAUCCCCUGAGCAGUGCCUGACUCCUGCAGGAGGCACCAGUCUCUGACUUUGGAUGCAUUCUCCCAUUAGACCCGCCAGCUCUGUGUCUGGCUCCUCCAAAUAGUUGGCAUUUGUAGCAUGGGAGGCAGCCUGUCCGAGCUCACUUCAACAGCUGGUGCCAGCCAGUUCCUCAAAGAUUGGUGCCAGCAGCAGGAAGAGCAUGCCAGGGCCUUGCUUAUCAAACAGACCAGCAUCCAUUCCAUGGCUGCCACCGAGGGACAAAGGGAAAAGCAGCAGAGGAAGUCCCUCUUGACAUGGCACCUUGUGGGAAAGGUAGGCAUGUGCCCUUUGGAAGAGGAUGCGAGCUGGAGGAUGAAGAGAUGACCUCAGUGAGCGGCCUUCCCUCCUUGCUCCCAUUUCCUAGCUGGUGGGUAGUGUGUGAUACCUGCCUUUGGGAAGCACUCGAGGCUUAUAAAUGGAAAAUAGAUCACAGAGGUGAAGCACCAGUGUUUACUUUGGGGUCUGCCUUCGGCUCCUUCCUCGCUUUCCAGAAGUGGUUCUUGUAGGGACACCUAAGGUGCUCCUGGUGCUCCCCAUCCCUUGCAAGGCAGGGCCCUGCUUCUCCCACAGGUUGCUAGGCUGCCUCCUAUUAAGAGAUGUGACCAGCAGCUCUCCCAUGUAAUUCUCUUCCUCCCACUGGAAAACUUGUUUGUGUCCUUUAAAUAAAUAUUUAAUAUAUCUCA